CAAAUUCCCUGCAAACACACAAGCUGCAAUAUUUCUAAUGCUAUAUAUUAUUAAAUUAUAUAUUAAAUACACAAAUAAAGCUUAUAAUAACAACACAUCUGAGUGAGACAGUCGCUGUAGGGAUUUUUAUUGACCACCAGAUAGCGAAGUAGAGCACUGUGUCAAAAGCUUCUAUUAAACCAUGCAGUUUGUUGAAAAAGCCUCACAGAUUCAGAAGGACGGAAGUUCUCCAGGAACAGAGUUGGACACACCUGCCCUAGGUGCUGUUUCUAUCCUCAAACCGUGCAUUGAAUGUGUUCAGCUCAAGACAGUGGCGUAGACAGGGGAGGGGCCAUGGGGGCACUGGCCCCUCUUGAAAACUGAUUGGCCCCCCAGUGUGCCCCCACCCUUCUACUUGUCUGUCACUCAAAAAUUCAAAUCAUAAUCUUUCAGCUUGUAGUAGAAUAAUUUAUGAUUCCGCGUCGCGAUGCUUCUCAACGAGGACCAAGAAUAGCAAACUGUUUUCCAACGGAAAAAAAGUUGAUCUAUUUUAUACAGCUUAUUUUCUUUCGAUUAGCGAGUUGUUGCAGUGCUAGAGUUUGGUAACGUUACCGUCUUUCAGUGUUAGGACAGACCAGGCUCGAUGUAUUCUCUGAGAGCAGACCAACAUAAUGCUAAUAAUUACAUUUAACGUUACUAUGCUCCUGAGGCUGAAUGUAACAGGGUUUUCCUGCGUUAUGAUUUUUUUCCCAGCCGAUAAGCAAGUGAUAUUGCAAGCGAGGUGCCGGAACAAAUCGUAUGAUGUUUAUCUAGGCUAACGCUCAACACUUUAAAAGCUAACGUUACGUUAACUUUCAGAGGUGGAGGUCUUGAGUUACGUUACUACACUCUAAAUAAAGAAAAUUAAGUUACAUGACAUUGACUUCGAGUCUUGAGAACGAAUAUUCUAAAGUCUCGAACCGCAUGCCUUGAUAAUGACUUGUUUUUUGGGGGUUUAAACAUUUUACCUGUUUUUAGUUUAUAAUUUUCCAGCUGGGCUGGUUGUGAUAAAAGGUAAAGUUUUUGUCAUCCGCCAAUAAAACCAUAGCAUUUAAACAAAUAGUAAUUUCCUCCUUUUUACCUCUGUUAUCUCAGGCAGUGUAACAGGACGUAAAGGCAGGGAGAUAUUCAGUAUUUUUCUGCAAAGAAAGUGCCAGCCAGUGCCAGCCAGUGAGGGAGAGUCCGCGUGAUGGUUUAACGUUACACACAGUGAGUUCAGAGCCUGCCUGCUCAACAGGAGACCUCUUGGUUCAGGAAGAUUUGAGCAUAAAUCAGAACAGCCCUGUACACCCAGCUGUCUCUAGGGAUGAAACAGAUGAGAGUGAAAGUGAUGUGAAAGAGAUGGAUACUUGUCACCCACCUUCAGAAGUGUAAUCUGAGCUUCCACUUACUUCUGAUACUGCUCUUACUGGACCUGAUGACAGAAGAAGAAUGGAGAAGUGAUCAUCUCUGCUUGGUUGAAUGAAGUUGGAGAAAACCUUUUUCAAGUUAACCCUGUUAAAGUCUCUGACAACAAAAGUCAUAACUGAUCCCUGUGUCCAAUUAUUUUAAGACAACAGAAGUAUUUUACAAAUAUUACUAAAGUACA